rnacentral:rRNA from 1 species
AACGAACGCUGGCGGCAUGCCUAACACAUGCAAGUCGAACGAGACCUUCGGGUCUAGUGGCGCACGGGUGCGUAACGCGUGGGAACCUGCCCUUAGGUUCGGAAUAACUCCCCGAAAGGGGUGCUAAUACCGGAUAAUGUCUUCGGACCAAAGAUUUAUCGCCUUUGGAUGGGCCCGCGUUGGAUUAGCUAGUUGGUAGGGUAAAAGCCUACCAAGGCGACGAUCCAUAGCUGGUCUGAGAGGAUGAUCAGCCACACUGGGACUGAGACACGGCCCAGACCCCUACGGGGGGAAGCAGUGGGGAAUAUUGGAAAAGGGGCGAAAGCCUGAUCCAGCAAUGCCGGGGGGGUGAUGAAGGCCUUAGGGUUGUAAAGCUCUUUUACCCGGGAUGAUAAUGACAGUACCGGGAGAAUAAACCCCGGCUAACUCCGU